GACGAACGCUGGCGGCGUGCCUAACACAUGCAAGUCGAGCGGGACUUAUAGUCAACACCGAGGUUUUGAGAAGGUUUUUGGAGAUGAGGUAUUUAAGGUUAUAAACUAAAAACUAGCAACUCAAGAAUUGGGUGUUGAUUAUAAGUUUAGCGGCGGACGGGUGAGUAACGCGUGAGUAACCUGCCUCAUAGAGUGGGAUAACACAUCGAAAGGUGUGCUAAUACCGCAUAAAAUAUAGAAACCGCAUGGUUUUCAUAUCAAAGAUUUAUCGCUAUGAGAUGGACUCGCGUCUGAUUAGCUAGUUGGUAAGGUAAUGGCUUACCAAGGCGACGAUCAGUAGCCGAACUGAGAGGUUGAUCGGCCACAUUGGGACUGAGACACGGCCCAGACCCCUACGGGAGGCAGCAGUGGGGAAUAUUGGUCAAUGGACGCAAGUCUGAACCAGCCACGUCGCGUGAAGGAAGACGGCCCUACGGGUUGUAAACUUCUUUUAUACGGGAAUAAAGUGCCCCACGCGUGGGGUUUUGCAAGUACCGUACGAAUAAGGAUCGGCUAACUCCGUGCCAGCAGCCGCGGUAAUACGGAGGACCCGAGCGUUAUCCGGAUUUAUUGGGUUUAAAGGGUGCUCAGGCGGGGGAUUAAGUCGGCGGUGAAAUUUUGCAGCUCAACUGUAAAAGUGCCUUCGAAACUGGUUUCCUUGAGUGCGGAUGAGGUAGGCGGAAUUUGUGGUGUAGCGGUGAAAUGCAUAGAUAUCACGAGGAACUCCGAUUGCGCAGGCAGCUUACCAAGCCGUAACUGACGCUCAAGCACGAAGGCGUGGGGAUCAAACAGGAUUAGAUACCCUGGUAGUCCACGCAGUAAACGAUGAUUACUGGCUGUUUGCGAUAUAAUGUAAGCGGCUGAGCGAAAGCGUUAAGUAAUCCACCUGGGGAGUACGUUCGCA
rnacentral:rRNA from 1 species